GUGGGGAAUAUUGGACAAUGGGCGAAAGCCUGAUCCAGCCAUGCCGCGUGUGUGAAGAAGGUCUUCGGAUUGUAAAGCACUUUAAGUUGGGAUGAAGGGCAGUAAGUUAAUACCUUGCUGUUUUGACGUUACCAACAGAAUAAGCACCGGCUAACUUCGUGCCAGCAGCCGCGGUAAUACGAAGGGUGCAAGCGUUAAUCGGAAUUACUGGGCGUAAAGCGCGCGUAGGUGGUUCAGCAAGUUGAAGGUGAAAUCCCCGGGCUCAACCUGGGAACUGCCUCCAAAACUACUGAGCUAGAGUACGGUAGAGGGUAGUGGAAUUUCCUGUGUAGCGGUGAAAUGCGUAGAUAUAGGAAGGAACACCAGUGGCGAAGGCGACUACCUGGACUGAUACUGACACUGAGGUGCGAAAGCGUGGGGAGCAAACAGGAUUAGAAACCCGGGUAGUCC
rnacentral:rRNA from 1 species